rnacentral:rRNA from 1 species
UACGUAGGGGGCGAGCGUUACCCGGAUUUAUUGGGUUUAAAGGGUGCGUAGGCGGGAUGCCAAGUCAGCGGUAAAAAUGCGGUGCUCAACGCCGUCGAGCCGUUGAAACUGGCGUUCUUGAGUGGGCGAGAAGUAUGCGGAAUGCGUGGUGUAGCGGUGAAAUGCAUAGAUAUCACGCAGAACUCCGAUUGCGAAGGCAGCAUACCGGCGCCCUACUGACGCUGAGGCACGAAAGCGUGGGUAUCGAACAGG